rnacentral:tRNA from 1 species
GCCUUCAUAGCUCAAUUGGUAGAGCAACUGAUUUGUAAUCAGUAGGUUGUCUGUUCGACUCGGACUGAAGGCA